CAGUCGCCGCGGUAAUACAGAGGGUGCGAGCGUUAAUCGGAUUUACUGGGCGUAAAGCGUGCGUAGGCGGCUUUUUAAGUCGGAUGUGAAAUCCCUGAGCUUAACUUAGGAAUUGCAUUCGAUACUGGGAAGCUAGAGUAUGGUAGAGGAUGGUAGAAUUCCAGGUGUAGCGGUGAAAUGCGUAGAGAUCUGGAGGAAUACCGAUGGCGAAGGCAGCCAUCUGGCCUAAUACUGACGCUGAGGUACGAAAGCAUGGGGAGCAAACAGGAUUAGAUACCCCUGUAGUCCCUGUCUCUUAUAC
rnacentral:rRNA from 1 species